rnacentral:rRNA from 1 species
AAAAAGCUCGUAGUUCGAGCUCAGUUCCGGACUGGUCGGGGAGGUCACCGCCCGGUGCUUCCCCGCCAGGCUCCGAACAGUGUCUAUGACUAGAUGCCAAGCCGGACUCGCCGGGGUGCUCUUUACCGAGUGUCCCGCGCGGCCGGCCAGUUCACCUUGAAUAAAUGAGAGUGCUCAAGGCAGGCUACUCCCAAAACUUAAGCCCGAAUGUUACCUGCAUGGAAUGAUGUAACAUGACCUCGGUCCCACGUUGUCUGGUUCAUGGGUCCGAGGUAAUGAUAAACAGGGACUGUCGGGGGCAUCCGUACUACGACGCGAGAGGUGAAAUUCUGUGACCGUCGUAGGACGAACAACAGCGAAAGCAUUUGCCAAGAAUGUCUUCGUUGAUCAAGAACGAAAGUUAGAGGAUCGAAGGCGAUCAGAUACCGCCCUAGUUCUAACCCUAAACGAUGCUAACUAGUAAUCCGCCGUCGUUAUUCCCAUGACGUGGCGGGACACCCCCGGGAAACCUCAAGUUUUUGAGUUCCGGGGGUAGUAUGGUUGCAAAACUGAAACUUAAAGGAAUUGACGGAAGGGCACCACCAGGAGUGGAGCCUGCGGCUUAAUUUGACUCAACACGGGGAAUCUCACCAGGCCCGGACACCAGCAGGAUUGACAGAUUAAGUGCUCUUUCUCGAUUUGGUGGGUGG